UACGAAGGGGGCGAGCGUUGUUCGGAUUUACUGGGCGUAAAGGGCGCGCAGGCGGUCGUUGAAAGUCAGGCGUGAAAGCCCCGGGCUUAACCUGGGAAUUGCGCUUGAUACUCGUGAGACUGGAGUACGGGAGAGGAGAGUGGAAUUCCCAGUGUAGAGGUGAAAUUCGUAGAUAGUUGGGAAGAACACCAGUGGCGAAGGCGGACUCUCUGGACCGUAACUGACGCUGAGGCGCGAAAGCGUGGGGAGCAAACAGG
rnacentral:rRNA from 1 species